GAGCUCUCACAGCCCCUUUAGGGGCAGGACCCCUGAGGAUGAACCCUCAUUCCGCCGGUCUCUCGGAUCCCCCUUUCUCUUUUGCUUGAUUGCCCCUCCAAACAGGAAGGCGCCAACAACCCUACCUUGAGUCAGACCUGCGGCAACUAGGCAAGCUGCAGCCGCGAGGUAGAAGCUCUCUCUGACCCUUUUACCUUAAUGGUUCGUACCCGCGGGAAAUAAAGUUGGAAAACUGCAAGCGAUUUCCGAUCUACGGCUUCUUCCAGCUCCUCAGAUUUAUCUUACCGUCCCCCCCGCGAAUCCUCUCAAGAUCCCACCGAGAGAUGGAUUCGAAGACUCUCCCCUCCUUCCGCUGCUGGAUUCUGGCCCGUGCCCCGUCUCUCUCCACCCCAGCGGCUUCCCGAGUGAUUCUCCAAGGGCAAAUGAAUUUUGACCAGGAAGACAGUGAAGAAAUUUCAUAAAAGUGAAAUACUAAUUGGAAGCUCCUAUCGGCAUUGGUUGAUCUGACAAGUUGUGUGUAUAGAAACUAGCCUAUAUGGAGACACGAAUGUCAAAAGAAGUUUUACCGAUGAUAGAAAUAUGAGAGGAUCAUUAUGUAUUCUUCAAGAAAAAGAAAUAUGGCAAAGGAUAGUAAAGGUAAUACUGCCAAAAAUAUCCAGAUUGUAUUGAAGAAAAUUGUGAAAAAAAGGACCAGAGUCAAAGUUAUUUUUCUAGGAUGUGAUUCCAAUAAAUAAACCAGGGCACCUGCUGGUUCUCAAUACAUACUUGAGAUCCUAACAACUUGGAAGAAGAAACAAAAAUGUCUUCAAAGGAACAAGAAUUUGGCAUUUCAUUGACAACUCUGGAACACGGAAUACAACAAGACAUGUCUUCAGAAUUCUUAGAUGUAUUUUCAACUUUGAAUUCUAUACUGAAACUAUGAACCCUGAGGGCAGAAAAAGUAUUCAAGAACUCAGGAAGUAUCUCCAAAAACCCACACAGAAUAUUACUCAAAGAUCUGCUGGUGGCAGAUGAUGGCAUAAACCAAGAAAGAAGAAGCACUGAGUCCAAAAUGGUAGUGACAGAAAUGAGUGCAGCUGAUCUUGAGUGUGAUUAGCCAGGUUAAAGUAGGCCAAAGGAAAAUUCUGGAAAGAGAUAUCUAAGAGAGACGUGUCCAGGAAAAAGAGAACUUGAUGUAUAAAUAAUUUUAAAAACUGAAAAAAGUGAGGAAAACAAAUGCAAGUUAUGGGACAGAUAAAAGACUGGCAAUAAGUAAUUCCAGGGAGAGUACAACCCAGUGUACCAAUUGGUAAAUAAUAUUAAAUUAUAUAAUACAAACACUGCUUACAGAUGUUUCACUUUUAAAAUCAAUCCAUUGGCAGAUUUAAUAAUGGAUGCAGAAGAAUUAAAUGGCUUCGCAUUUAUUUUAACAAAGUGAAAGUAAGACUUUUGGAGGUAGAAGAAGGAGAGCUGGGGAAAGAUAUUUUCUCAUUUCAUAGAGAAAGGCUUCAGAACAUGCCCACGUGAUGGACAAUAUAUAAAGGUAAAUGUUUAUUAUUUAAAUAAUAAUGCUAUAUUAGGCAGUGUGAACUAAAUACUUACUAUAAUAAUAAUGUGAGUUACUAGUGUAAAAAUCAAGAAUAAAUAAAAAGUGAUAAAACAUAAUUUAGAAAUGUGAAUAUAAUCAUCAGAUAUAAAUAAUAAAUAAUUAAAAUAAUUAAAUAGAUUUCCUUUAGGUUGCAGGACUGCAAAUUGGGAAUGGUGAGGGUUUUUUUUCCCCUACAAAUCCUUUAUUAAUUGCAUUUUAUAUGUGUGAGUAUAUUAAAAAUUUAAAAACUAAAUUAAACAACAUAAGUAGUAAAAUAAUACAUAGCUUAUAGAAAUAAAAAUAAAAUUUUAAUGCCAAUUUAAUGUAAAAGUAGAAUUUCCAGGCAUUUCGAAGAUGCUUAUAGCUUCCUUUUUCUGUAUUCUCUUAUUAUCAAGUCUCCCUAGACAUAAUAUAGUUAAACAGUUUUCAUCUCUUUUCUCAAAGCUGGAUUCUUAGGAGCAAUUUGUACAAAAUGAUCCUGAGUAUCCCAGUCUUCUUAUGUAUGUUGUCUUUUUAAAGAUACAAUGCAGGUCAAUUCAGGCUUUUGAUUUACAACGCCCACUUCUCUGCUAGUUUGAGUUUCCAACUUAGUAGUACAGGACAACUGUCAGUUCCUAGAAAAUAUAAGCCUUACAUUUUGUUCUAAGGCCUGAAUUUUUCUCUUAACUAUUAAAAUUUAUUUUAAACAUAACAGCUUAGAGUAACUUAAAUUCAUGCUGUUAAACAUACACACACAGUCAAAAUCUGAUAAGGCACAUGUAUUUAAUUUCAGUGACUCUGACAUCUACUCUGUUCUUCAUGAAGAUGAUGAAUGGUACAUUAUAGCUCUUUUGUACAAAUAUUUGGUUUUGGUCCCCUUGAAAAUGACCUUAAAAUCACCUGGGGCUAUUGUUAAAAAUGCACACAUGCCCACUGCAUCCUCAGUCUUACUAAAUCAAGAAUAGCAAUCUCGAUGAGUAAUUCGAUUAGUGAUCUCGAUUAGUAAUUCCUGCAGAGCACAGGAAUCAAUUUCAAUGAAAAAUUUUCUCUGUGAUUUUUCAAUAUUUUUAAAUGUUUCCAAAUCUUUAGUGCCCCCUCUGCAAAGUCCGGACUUGUCUCUUAGUUUGAACUUUAGUAAAAUGUAAAGCUUAAGAACAGCAUUAGAAUUGUUCCCAUUCGUUCAAUUGAUCCACUCAACACAUAUAAUAUGCAUCUUCUAACUGUGGGCACUGUCCUGAGUCCUGGACACAUGAACUAACAAAAGAGCUCGCCUUAGGAGUGAGGCAGGGUCUUAGGCAUAUCAGAGAGGACAUUCAUGACUUAUGUUGGCAAGUUUAAUAUGACAUAUAAGUGAAUAUUAAUUUCUCCAUUGCACCCUUUGUGAGUUUCUGAGAAAAUAAAUAACAUAUAUAUGUGUGAAUUACAAAUACAAAUAUAUAUCCCUUGAAUGGCCUAGGGUAAACAGAUAAAAGUUGUUGUUUGUUAGAGUAAAAUCCUAACUGAACAAAUGGGGUAAUUUUAUAUGCAUUGUACAAUUCCAGAUCAACUCUGGUAAACCUCACCAGGAGUAAGGAUUUUUGUUGUUUAUGUGUAAGAUUGCCGAUACAUUUUAUUUUAUUUUGAUGACAAAGCAACUUGGUUUUGACUACUGAAUUGUUAAGUUUGCCUCUGCUAUUUUCAAUUCCUCUGUAAUUUAGGGAUUGUGAAUAUCAGUCAGAGAAAAACUGCAGUGGGACUUGAAGCCCUGAUGUGCUGUUCGGUCAGACUUUUUUUUUUCCUGAAUUUUAAAGAUAGAGUUUCUCUAUUGUAGGAAAACAUAUCUUAGUUAUUUUUUAUUUUAAAUACAUUCCUCUGGAGGAAGAACAAAAAGCAAAGCAAAGAAAAACAAAACAUAGCUUUUUCUAUGUUGUUUUAUACUUAAUAUCUAAAGCUCUUCAUGAAAGCAAGAAAUUUUGACCUUAAGACUAUUCCUGAAUAUAUGUAUUCUUGAAUAUAAUAUCAUAUAUAUUACACAUAUCUGUUAUGAAAGCCCAAAUAAACUGCACAUCUAUAUCUAUUCAUACUGCCACUUGAAUGAAAGCACAUUCAAGGUAAAA
ensembl:lncRNA novel transcript